rnacentral:rRNA from 1 species
AUACAGAGGGUGCAAGCGUUAAUCGGAAUUACUGGGCGUAAAGCGCGCGUAGGUGGUUUGGUAAGUUAGAUGUGAAAGCCCGUGGCUCAACCACGGGAUUGCAUUUAAAACUACCAAGCUAGAGUACAGGAGAGGUAAGUGGAAUUCCUAGUGUAGCGGUGAAAUGCGUAGAUAUUAGGAAGAACACCAGUGGCGAAGGCGACUUACUGGACUGAAACUGACGCUGAGGCUCGAAAGCGUGGGGAGCAAACAGGAUUAGAUACCCUGGUAGUCCACGCCGUAAACGAUGAGUGCUAGGUGUUGGGGGGGAACCCUCGGUGCCGCAGCUAACGCAUUAAGCACUCCACCUGGGGAGUACGAUCGCAAGAUUGAA